rnacentral:rRNA from 1 species
CUCUUCUUGUAUUUUUAAUAAGAAGUAUGACCUGCCCAAUGAUUAUAAUUUAAUGGCCGCGGUAUUUUGACCGUGCAAAGGUAGCAUAAUCAUUAGUCUUUUAAUUGGAGGCUGGAAUGAAUGGUUGGACGAGAUAAUAACUAUCUUAAUUUUAUUUGUUGAAUUUAAUUUUUAGGUAAAAAAGCUUAAAUGAUUUAUUGGGACGAGAAGACCCUAUAGAAUUUAUAUACUUAAUCAAUAAUUAUUUAAAGUUUGUAAUUUUAAAUUUAUUAAUUAAAGUAUUUUGUUGGGGUGAUGGGAAGAUAAGUAUAACUCUUUUUAUUUGUUUAAUUAUUUAUUUAUAUUUUAUGUUGAUCCACGUUUAGUGAUUAUAAGACUAAAUUACC